GUAAUUGACUUAUUAUUUCUUUUUAAAUAAAUCAUUAUAUAAUUUAUACGCUAAGUAUGUGUUACAAAAAAGUAUUUUAAAAUGAUAGAUGAAAGUACUGUAAAGGAAAGUUGAAAAAAUGAAAAUUUUUACUUUUUGAAGAAGAUAUCAAAAAUCGUACCUUGUGUAUCAGGGGGUUGCAAAAUUUCCUAUAAAUUUAGACCUCCCGAAAGAAAAUGAGCUAAUUUUAAGAAAGAGUUACUGUAGCAAAAGUAUUCUAAACUUUAAAUUAGAAGUAAAACAUCAACCGUAUUUUCUUUAUCUGGUUUCUUAAGAAACGAAUUUAAUUCGACUCACGUUAGUAUCUUUAGCCAUAAUAAUUUUUAUAUUAACUUGAAUAAACUUUUAGAGGGAUGAGCUUCUAAAAGAAUUGCUAAAAGUUUUACCUUAUUAAUAUAUUGUUAAGGCUUAGAAACAGCCAUAAUUUAUGUACGUUACAGUAUAAUACUUUUUAAUAAUAUUUCCCAAACUUUAGUAAUCUAUUAAGAAACCUAUAAAAACAAUUUUAUAGAGAUAUAAUGCAUCCAUGAGUACAAUAUUAUGUGAUUUUUUAAAACUAGACUAAAAAUAAACUAUUUUUAUAAAAGAUUAGUGAAAGGAACUCGGCAAAACCUUUUCCGACUGUUUAACAAAAACAUCUCCUAAAGUUAAAAUUUUAGGUAAGACCUGCCCAAUGUUUUUAAUCAAUGGCCGCGGUAUUUUGACCGUGCGAAGGUAGCAUAAUCAUUAGUCUCUUAAUUAGAGGCUGGCAUGAACGGUUUAACGAGAAAAGAUCUGUCUCUCACUAAAGACUGGAAUUUUAUUAUUAAGUGAAAAAGCUUAAAUGAAUCUGAAGGACGAUAAGACCCUAUAGAGCUUAAUUUCCUAUAAGUAAAAUUAAUACUAGAGCAAUAAUUUUAUACUGUAAAGAAAUUUUGUUGGGGCGACAAUAAGACAAAUAAUAACUCUUAUUCCUUUUUACAUAAAUAAAUGACUUAUUGAUCCUUAAAGAAAGAUCAUAAGAACAAGUUACCUUAGGGAUAACAGCGUAAUCCUUUUUAAGAGUUCAUAUCGACAAAAGGGUUUGCGACCUCGAUGUUGGAUUAAGAAUUUGCCAAGGUGUAGCAGUUUUGGUAAAAGGUCUGUUCGACCUUUAAUAUCUUACAUGAUCUGAGUUCAAACCGGCGUGAGCCAGGUUGGUUUCUAUCCUCAGAAACUAUUAUUCUACUCUAGUACGAAAGGACCGAGUAGUUUAGAGUAUUCUAAUAUUUUUGAUGGACUUUAAAAGCUUGU
rnacentral:rRNA from 1 species